rnacentral:rRNA from 1 species
GACGUAGGGCGCGAGCGUUGUCCGGAUUUAUUGGGCGUAAAGAGCUCGUAGGCGGCUUGUCGCGUCGACUGUGAAACUCCCGGCCGGCUCAAACUGCGGGGUCUGCAGUCGAUACGGGGCAGGCUAGAGUUCGGUAGGGGAGACUGGAAUUCCUGGUGUAGCGGUGAAAUGCGCAGAUAGUCAGGAGGAACACCGGUGGCGAAGGCGGGUCUCUGGGCCGAUACGUGACGCUGAGGAGCGAAAGCCGUGGGGAGCGAACAGG